CNCCUAUUUGUGGGUGCUAUGAUUUGAACU
rnacentral:piRNA from 1 species